GACGAACGCUGGCGGCGUGCCUAAUACAUGCAAGUCGAGCGAAUCAUGAGGUGCUUGCACCUCUUGGUUAGCGGCGGACGGGUGAGUAACACGUGGGCAACCUGCCUGUAAGACUGGGAUAACUUCGGGAAACCGGAGCUAAUACCGGAUAAUCCUUUUCUUCUCAUGAGGAAAAGUUGAAAGUCGGUUUACGCUAACACUUACAGAUGGGCCCGCGGCGCAUUAGCUAGUUGGUGAGGUAACGGCUCACCAAGGCGACGAUGCGUAGCCGACCUGGGAGGGGGAUCGGCCACACUGGGACUGAGACACGGCCCAGACUCCUACGGGAGGCAGCAGUAGGGAAUCUUCCGCAAUGGACGAAAGUCUGACGGAGCAACGCCGCGUGAGCGAUGAAGGCCUUCGGGUCGUAAAGCUCUGUUGUUAGGGAAGAACAAGUACCGGAGUAACUGCCGGUACCUUGACGGUACCUAACCAGAAAGCCACGGCUAACUACGUGCCAGCCGCCGCCGUAAGAC
rnacentral:rRNA from 1 species